GUAAAUAAUUAAGGGCGUAUGGUGGAUGCCUAGGCUCUCAGAGGCGAUGAAGGACGUGAUAAGCUGCGAAAAGCUCCGUUUAGGUGCAAAUAACCUUUGAUGCGGAGAUCUCCGAAUGGGAUAACCCAAUAUGUUGAAGACAUAUUAUACCGUAAGGUAGGCAAACGCAGGGAACUGAAACAUCUAAGUACCUGCAGGAGAAGAAAACAAACGUGAUUCCCCCAGUAGCGGCGAGCGACCGGGGAUAAGCCCAAACCGUUAUUGUUUCGGCAUUAACGGGGUAGUAGGACUGCAAGCUUGAUGAAAUAAAUGAAAUGGAACACUUUGGAAAAUGUGAUCACAGAGGGUGAUAAUCCCGUACAUGCAAGUUUAUGAAUCAUAGCAGACUCCUGAGUAAGUCGGGACACGUGUAAUCCUGACCGAAUCCGCCGGGACCAUCCGGCAAGGCUAAAUACUCCUGAGAGACCGAUAGUGAACCAGUACCGUGAGGGAAAGGUGAAAAGCACUUCGAACAGAAGAGUGAAAUAGUCCCUGAACCCAUACGCCUACAAGCAGUCGGAGCCGCUUCGUGCGGUGACGGCGUGCCUUUUGCAUAAUGAGCCUACGAGUUACUCAUCACCAGCGAGGUUAAGUACUUCAGGUACGUAAGCCGAAGCGAAAGCGAGUCUGAAUAGGGCGUCAAGUUGGUGGUGGUAGACGCGAAACCUUAGUGAUCUACCCAUGGGCAGGGUGAAGGUUUGGUAACACAAACUGGAGGCCCGAACCGGUAAACGUUGAAAAGUUUUCGGAUGACCUGUGGGUAGGGGUGAAAGGCCAAUCAAACUGGGAAAUAGCUCGUACUCUCCGAAAUGCAUUUAGGUGCAGCCUCUGUUGUUUUGUUCUAGAGGUAGAGCUACUGAUUGGAUGCGAGGGCUUCACCGCCUAUCAAAUCCGGCCAAACUCCGAAUGCUAGAACAUGAAGACAGGGAGUGAGCCAGCGGGUGCUAAGGUCCGUUGACGAAAGAGGGAGAACUCAGACCAUCAGCUAAGGUCCCCAAUUGUAUGCUAAGUUGGAAUUAAAACGGGGUGGGACUGCUUAGACAGCUAGGAUGUUGGCUUGGAAGCAGCCAUUCAUUUAAAGAGUGCGUAACAGCUCACUAGUCGAGCGGUCCUGCAUGGAUAAUACGCGGGCAUAAGCAUAUAACCGAAGCUAUGGGAUUGUAGAUGAUACAAUCGGUAGGAGAGCAUUCCAUUCAGCAUAGAAGCAGUACCGUGAGGUAUUGUGGAGCGGAUGGAAAAGCAAAUGUAGGCAUAAGUAACGAUAAUGCGGGUGAGAACCCCGCACGCCGAAAGAUCAAGGAUUCCCCGGCAAUGUCAAUCAUCCGGGGGUAAGUCGGAUCCUAAGGGUAAGCCGAGUGGCGAUCCCGAUGGCAAACAGGUUAAUAUUCCUGUACUGAUCAUAACUGCGAUGCAGCGACGCAGAGGUGACACUGCUGCGUACUGACGGAAUAGUACGUUGAAACCCGUAUUCUUUGAUACCGGUAGUGAAGCACGCCGGUAGAGAUGAAAGGUGAUAGUACCGCAAUGCUUCGGUUGCGCGGAUAACGCAGGUAAGCUGACUGCCAAGAAAACCUGCUAAGCUUCAGGUAAUGAUCAUCCGUACUGUAAACGGACACACGUGAUCAGGUAGAAAAUACUAAGGCGCUCGAGAGAUUCAUGGUUAAGGAACUAGGCAAAAUGGUCCUGUAACUUCGGGAUAAAGGACGCUCUUGUGAAAGAGCCGCAGAUAAUAGGCCCAGGCGACUGUUUACCAAAAACACAUGGCUAUGCUAAUUCGCAAGAAGAUGUAUAUGGCCUGACACCUGCCCGGUGCCGGAAGGUUAAGAGGAGAGCUCAGAGGCAACUCGAAGGUUUGAAUUGAAGCCCCGGUAAACGGCGGCCGUAACUAUAACGGUCCUAAGGUAGCGAAAUUCCUUGUCGGG
rnacentral:rRNA from 1 species